rnacentral:misc_RNA from 1 species
UUUCCGUAGGUGAACCUGCGGAAGGAUCAUUAUCGUACAAAAUGUGAGGGGCAUGCGAGGGCUGUCGCUGACCAAAAGCCGUGCACGCCCGAGUGUGUCCUCUUGCAUAAUAAUCCAUCUCACCCUUUGUGCAUCACCGCGUGGGCACCCUUCGGGAUCAUCUCGGAGGGGGGCUCGCGUUUUCACACAAACCCCCCUUUUAAAAGUGUAGAAUGACCACAUUUAUGCAAUCAAUACAACUUUCAACAACGGAUCUCUUGGCUCUC